rnacentral:rRNA from 1 species
GACGAACGCUGGCGGCGUGCUUAACACAUGCAAGUCGAGCGGUAAGGCCUCUUCGGGGGUACACGAGCGGCGAACGGGUGAGUAACACGUGGGUGACCUGCCCUCAGCUCUGGGAUAAGCCUAGGAAACUGGGUCUAAUACCGGGUAUGACCUUUCCUCGCAUGGGGUUUGGUGGAAAGUUUUUUCGGCUGGGGAUGGGCCCGCGGCCUAUCAGCUUGUUGGUGGGGUGAUGGCCUACCAAGGCGACGACGGGUAGCCGGCCUGAGAGGGCGACCGGCCACACUGGGACUGAGACACGGCCCAGACUCCUACGGGAGGCAGCAGUGGGGAAUAUUGCGCAAUGGGCGGAAGCCUGACGCAGCGACGCCGCGUGGGGGAUGACGGCCUUCGGGUUGUAAACCUCUUUCGACCCCGACGAAUUUGGACGGUAGGGGUAGAAGAAGCACCGGCCAACUACGUG